ensembl:processed_transcript growth arrest specific 5
GAGCUGUGCGGCACGCUGAGCAGGAAUGGCAAUGUGGACCCCUGUGAUGGGACAUCUUGUGGGAUCUUACAGCCAGAUCUGUGGCAAAGGAGGAUGAAGGCUUAUGAGGACUCGUCAGGAAGCUGGAUAACAGAACGAGCGCAAUGUAAGCAAUUUUGUGUGUGCAUGUGGUCCCAUUACAAGGAAUACCCAAUGGCAAAUGAGCACUAAAGAUCCCUCAACCCACACAUCGAAUGUAUUGUUCCCUGAGAGCACUUGUAGAUAGAGGAGUUGGGUGGGAGAUCUGAAGUCAGGGCAUUGUUUCUAUGUAUCUGAGGAGGCUGGUUUUUGAUAUUUGUGGGGAACUAGUGGUCGUUAACUCAUUUACCCCCUAUUUGGUGGACUCUGGUUCCCCCAUCUUAAGUGCUGAGUCAGGGGCAGCUUUAACUAUUUGUUUGUUGUAGGUGCUAGAAUAGAAGACCAGAAAAUGAAAUGGUAAGUGAAACUAAAGGAAUUGUAGAUGCUAAACAGGCUUGGCUUUGUUG